rnacentral:rRNA from 1 species
UACAGAGGGUGCGAGCGUUAAUCGGAAUUACUGGGCGUAAAGCGUGCGUAGACGGUUAUUUAAGUCGGGUGUGAAAGCCCCGGGCUCAACCUGGGAAUUGCAUUCGAGACUGAAUAGCUAGGGUACGGUAGAGGGAAGUGGAAUUCCCGGUGUAGCGGUGAAAUGCGUAGAUAUCGGAAGGAACAUCAGUGGCGAAAGCGACUUCCUGGACCAGUACCGACGUUCAGGCACGAAAGCGUGGGGAGCAAACAGG